CCCAGCUCGUCAUGCUAGAGCACGUUUUCAAUGUGCUCCCCAACGAGAAGGCGACGACACAUUCGUAUGUCAAUCCAUAUCAACUUUCGAUGCCAUUGACUGCGCCUACCAUGGUGACCACGGGUAACGGGGAAUUCCGUACAGGGACCCUGACAAAUGGCUACCACAUGCAAGGAAGGCAGCAGACGCGCAAAUGACCAACUCCCGACGCGGGAAGGUAGUGACG